AUCCAGCUGACGAGUGCCAAAUAGGACGAAACNCACGUCCUGGAU
rnacentral:hammerhead_ribozyme from 1 species